rnacentral:rRNA from 1 species
UACGAAGGGGGCGAGCGUUGUUCGGAAUCACUGGGCGUAAAGGGCGCGUAGGCGGCCCUCCUAGUCGCGUGUGAAAGCCCCGGGCUCAACCUGGGAACGGCGCGCGAAACGGGGGGGCUGGAGUUCGGGAGAGGAGCGUGGAAUUCCCAGUGAUAGAGGUGAAAUUCGUAGAUAUUGGGAAGAACACCGGUGGCGAAGGCGGCGCUCGUGGACCGAGAC